rnacentral:rRNA from 1 species
AUUGAACGCUGGCGGCAUGCCUUACACAUGCAAGUCGAACGGUAACAGGUCUUCGGAUGCUGACGAGUGGCGAACGGGUGAGUAAUACAUCGGAACGUGCCCAGACGUGGGGGAUAACGAGGCGAAAGCUUUGCUAAUACCGCAUACGAUCUAAGGAUGAAAGCAGGGGACCGCAAGGCCUUGCGCGUUUGGAGCGGCCGAUGGCAGAUUAGGUAGUUGGUGGGAUAAAAGCUUACCAAGCCGACGAUCUGUAGCUGGUAUGAGAGGACGACCAGCCACACUGGGACUGAGACACGGCACAGACUCCUACGGGAGGCAGCAGUGGGGAAUUUUGGACAAUGGGCGAAAGCCUGAUCCAGCAAUGCCGCGUGCAGGAUGAAGGCCUUCGGGUUGUAAACUGCUUUUGUACGGAACGAAAAGGCUCUGGCUAAUACCUGGGGCACAUGACGGUACCGUAAGAAUAAGCACCGGCUAACUACGUG